rnacentral:rRNA from 1 species
AGUGAACGCUGGCGGCAUGCCUUACACAUGCAAGUCGAACGGUAACAGGUCUUCGGAUGCUGACGAGUGGCGAACGGGUGAGUAAUACAUCGGAACGUGCCUAGUAGUGGGGGAUAACUACUCGAAAGAGUGGCUAAUACCGCAUGAGAUCUACGGAUGAAAGCAGGGGAUCGCAAGACCUUGUGCUACUAGAGCGGCCGAUGGCAGAUUAGGUAGUUGGUGGGAUAAAAGCUUACCAAGCCGACGAUCUGUAGCUGGUCUGAGAGGACGAUCAGCCACACUGGACUGAGACACGGCCCAGACUCCUACGGGAGGCAGCAGUGGGGAAUUUUGGACAAUGGGCGAAAGCCUGAUCCAGCAAUGCCGCGUGCAGGAUGAAGGCCUUCGGGUUGUAAACUGCUUUUGUACGGAACGAAAAGCCCCGGGUUAAUACCCUGGGGUCAUGACUGUACCGUAAGAAUAAGCACCGGCUAACUACGUGCCAGCCGCCGCGGUAA